rnacentral:rRNA from 1 species
GGAUCCAGACUUUGAUCAUGGCUCAGGAUGAACGCUAGCUACAGGCUUAACACAUGCAAGUCGAGGGGAAACGAUAUUGGAAGCUUGCUUCCGAUAGGCGUCGACCGGCGCACGGGUGAGUAACGCGUAUCCAACCUGCCCAUCACUUGGGGAUAACCUUGCGAAAGUAAGACUAAUACCCAAUGACGUCUCUAGAAGACAUCUGAAAGAGAUUAAAGAUUUAUCGGUGAUGGAUGGGGAUGCGUCUGAUUAGCUUGUUGGCGGGGUAACGGCCCACCAAGGCGACGAUCAGUAGGGGUUCUGAGAGGAAGGUCCCCCACAUUGGAACUGAGACACGGUCCAAACUCCUACGGGAGGCAGCAGUGAGGAAUAUUGGUCAAUGGGCGAGAGCCUGAACCAGCCAAGUAGCGUGCAGGAUGACGGCCCUAUGGGUUGUAAACUGCUUUUAUAAGGGAAUAAAGUGAGUCUCGUGAGACUUUUUGCAUGUACCUUAUGAAUAAGGACCGGCUAAUUCCGUGCCAGCAGCCGCGGUAAUACGGAAGGUCCGGGCGUUAUCCGGAUUUAUUGGGUUUAAAGGGAGCGUAGGCCGGAGAUUAAGCGUGUUGUGAAAUGUAGACGCUCAACGUCUGCACUGCAGCGCGAACUGGUUUCCUUGAGUACGCACAAAGUGGGCGGAAUUCGUGGUGUAGCGGUGAAAUGCUUAGAUAUCACGAAGAACUCCGAUUGCGAAGGCAGCUCACUGGAGCGCAACUGACGCUGAAGCUCGAAAGUGCGGGUAUCGAACAGGAUUAGAUACCCUGGUAGUCCGCACGGUAAACGAUGGAUGCCCGCUGUUGGUCUGAAUAGGUCAGCGGCCAAGCGAAAGCAUUAAGCAUCCCACCUGGGGAGUACGCCGGCAACGGUGCAACUCAAAUGAAUUGACGG